CGGCUAUGUACUGCGUGUGUACUGUUGUUCUGAUAUACCCGUAGCCACAUAGUUCGCA
rnacentral:pre_miRNA from 1 species